UGGGGAAUAUUGCACAAUGGGCGCAAGCCUGAUGCAGCCAUGCCGCGUGUAUGAAGAAGGCCUUCGGGUUGUAAAGUACUUUCAGUCGGGAGGAAGGUGGUAAGGUUAAUAACCUUAUCAAUUGACGUUACCGACAGAAGAAGCACCGGCUAACUCCGUGCCAGCAGCCGCGGUAAUACGGAGGGUGCAAGCGUUAAUCGGAAUUACUGGGCGUAAAGCGCACGCAGGCGGUUGAUUGAGUCAGAUGUGAAAUCCCCGGGCUUAACCCGGGAAUUGCAUCUGAUACUGGUCAGCUAGAGUCUUGUAGAGGGGGGUAGAAUUCAAUGUGUAGCGGUGAGAUGCGUAGAGAUGUGGAGGAAUACCGGUGGCGAAGGCGGCCCCCUGGACAAAGACUGACGCUCAGGUGCGAAAGCGUGGGGAGCAAACAGG
rnacentral:rRNA from 1 species